rnacentral:rRNA from 1 species
AGAGUUUGAUCCUGGCUCAGGACGAACGCUGGCGGCGUGCUUAACACAUGCAAGUGGGGCGACGAACCAGGCUUCGGCCUGGGGCAAAGCCGCGAACGGGUGAGUAACACGUGGGUAACCUGCCCCGAAGACCGGGACAACCCGGGGAAACCCGGGCUAAUACCGGAUGUGGUCACUGUUCACAAGUACAGUGAGCAAAGGAAGCUUCGGCCUCCGCUUCGGGAUGGGCCCGCGGCCCAUUAGCUUGUUGGUGAGGUAACGGCUCACCAAGGCUUCGAUGGGUAGCUGGUCUGAGAGGACGAUCAGCCACACUGGGACUGAGACACGGCCCAGACUCCUACGGGAGGCAGCAGUGGGGAAUCUUGCGCAAUGCACGACAGUGUGACGCAGCAACGCCGCGUGGGGGAAGAAGGCUUUCGGGUCGUAAACCCCUUUCAGGAGGGACGAAGCUCCGGUCGCGAAUAGCGGUCCGGAGUGACGGUACUUCCACAAGAAGCCCCGGCUAACUACGUGCCAGCAGCCGCGGUA